CGUGUGUUUAAUGCGCCAAACAAUCUGAGUUGUAGUUUAACAUUGGACGACAUUAAUACAGACAUUUCUGGGAUUUCUGUGGAACAAAAGUUGUUUUUAGCGUCCAGUGCUCAGAUCCUUACAUCCAGACCAGAACUUCUGACACCCCAUAAAAUAACAAAAGCAGUGAAUUUAGCCAACAUGUUGCUCUCCUCAGAAAACAUAUCAACGGAUAUUGCUGUGUCUACAGUAGCCACGGUCAGUCAGCUCCUGAGUGCCGUUCCUGAGAAAUUCUCUGAUGUCAACCGU